GUGGGGAAUAUUGGACAAUGGGGGGAACCCUGAUCCAGCCAUGCCGCGUGUGUGAAGAAGGCCUUUUGGUUGUAAAGCACUUUAAGCGAGGAGGAGGCUCUCUUGGUUAAUACCUGAGAAGAGUGGACGUUACUCGCAGAAUAAGCACCGGCUAACUCUGUGCCAGCAGCCGCGGUAAUACAGAGGGUGCGAGCGUUAAUCGGAUUUACUGGGCGUAAAGCGCGCGUAGGUGGCUAAUUAAGUCAAAUGUGAAAUCCCCGAGCUUAACUUGGGAAUUGCAUUCGAUACUGGUUGGCUAGAGUAUGGGAGAGGAUGGUAGAAUUCCAGGUGUAGCGGUGAAAUGCGUAGAGAUCUGGAGGAAUACCGAUGGCGAAGGCAGCCAUCUGGCCUAAUACUGACACUGAGGUGCGAAAGCAUGGGGAGCAAACAGGAUUAGAAACCCUUGUAGUCC
rnacentral:rRNA from 1 species